UGUGUUCAAUAAAAACAUGGCAACAUUUCAUUCUUUGUGUGUUAUUAGUUUAAGCAGACUGUGAUUGUCUAUUUUUGUGACUUAGAUGAUGAUCAGAUCACAUUUUAUGACCAAUUUGUGCAGAAAUCCAUAUCAUUCCAAAGGGUUCACAUACUUUUUCUUGCAUCUGUUGACAUUAUAGUUGCGCAGGCACUUUGUUGACUCUAGAGAACUUCGGGCCAAUCGCACAUCCCCGUGACGGCGACUUUGCAUGCGGAUGUCAUCCAUAUCAACUUUCGGUGCCAGUUUCUGCGACUACCAUGGUGACCAUGGGUAAGGGGAAUCAGGGUUCCACUCCAUACAGGGACCCUGAAAAAUGGCUACCACAUGCAAGGAAGGCAGCAGGCGCGCAAAUGACCCACUCAAGACACGGGAAGGCAGUGACGACAAAUAACAAUACAGGACUCUUUAGAGGCCCUGUAAUUGUAAUGAGUCCAUUUGAAAUCCUUUAACUCUGAUCAAUUGGAGGGAAGUCUGGUGCAGAGCCACUGACCCAUGCGUGCUGCAGCUGAAACUCCACU